rnacentral:rRNA from 1 species
AGAGUUUGAUCAUGGCUCAGGAUGAACGCUAGCUACAGGCUUAACACAUGCAAGUCGAGGGGAAACGACAUCGAAAGCUUGCUUUUGAUGGGCGUCGACCGGCGCACGGGUGAGUAACGCGUAUCCAACCUGCCCACCACUUGGGGAUAACCUUGCGAAAGUAAGACUAAUACCCAAUGACGUCUCUAGAAGACAUCUGAAAGAGAUUAAAGAUUUAUCGGUGAUGGAUGGGGAUGCGUCUGAUUAGCUUGUUGGCGGGGUAAGGCCCACCAAGGCUACGAUCAGUAGGGGUUCUGAGAGGAAGUCCCCCGACAUUGGAACUGAGACACGGUCAAACUCCUACGGGAGCA